CCCUUAGAUGUUCUGGGCCGCACGCGCGCUACACUGACCAGUGCAACAAGCAUCCGUCCUUGGCCGACAGGCCCGGGCAAUCUUUGAACGCUGGUCGUGAUGGGGAUAGACUUUUGCAAUUUUUGGUCUUCAACGAGGAAUUCCUAGUAAACGCAAGUCAUCAACUUGCAUUGAUUACGUCCCUGCCCUUUGUACACACCGUCCGUCGCACCUACCGAUUGAAUGGUCCGGUGAAGCCUCCGGAUUGGCGCGCACCUCGGUGCCGCCGAGAAGUUGGCUAAACCUUACCAUUUAGAGGAAGGUGAAGUCGUAACA
rnacentral:rRNA from 1 species